rnacentral:rRNA from 1 species
GUUUGAUUCUGGCUCAGAGUGAACGCUGGCGGUAGGCCUAACACAUGCAAGUCGAACGGCAGCACAGGAGAGCUUGCUCUCUGGGUGGCGAGUGGCGGACAGGUGAGGAAUACAUCGGAAUCUACUCUGUCGUGGGGGAUAACGUAGGGAAACUUACGCUAAUACCGCAUACGACCCACGGGUGAAAGUGGGGGACCGCAAGGCCUCACGCGAUUGAAUGAGCCGAUGUCGGAUUAGCUAGUUGGCGGGGUAAAGGCCCACCAAGGCGACGAUCCGUAGCUGGUCUGAGAGGAUGAUCAGCCACACUGGAACUGAGACACGGUCCAGACUCCUACGGGAGGCAGCAGUGGGGAAUAUUGGACAAUGGGCGCAAGCCUGAUCCAGCCAUACCGCGUGGGUGAAGAAGGCCUUCGGGUGGUAAAGCCCUUUUGUUGGGAAAGAAAUCCUGUUGAUUAAUACUCGGCAGGGAUGACGGUACCCAAAGAAUAAGCACCGGCUAACUUCGUGCCAGCAGCCGCGGUAAUACGAAGGGUGCAAGCGUUACUCGGAAUUACUGGGCGUAAAGCGUGCGUAGGUGGUGGUUUAAGUCUGUUGUGAAAGCCCUGGGCUCAACCUGGGAAUUGCAGUGGAUACUGGAUCACUAGAGUGUGGUAGAGGGAUGCGGAAUUUCCGGUGUAGCAGUGAAAUGCGUAGAGAUCGGAAGGAACAUCUGUGGCGAAGGCGGCAUCCUGGGCCAACACUGACACUGAGGCACGAAAGCGUGGGGAGCAAACAGGAUUAGUACCCUGGUAGUCCACGCCCUAAACGAUGCGAACUGGAUGUUGGGCUCACUUGGAAACCCAGUAUCGAAGCUAACGCGUUAAGUUCGCCGCCUGGGGAGUACGGUCGCAAGACUGAAACUCAAAGGAAUUGACGGGGGCCCGCACAAGCGGUGGAGUAUG